ensembl:lncRNA
CUGGUUUUCUCCAUGCCCCUGAAUUAUUGAAUUGUAUGCAUGCCAAACAGUUUGUCAAAGCUCUCUAAAUUGUGUAGCCCCCACACUUUUACAACAUAGCAGUAUAUAAGUUGUUAGUAAGAUGCAAAGAUGCAAAAAUAAAUAAAUAAAUAAAUAGAGAAAGAGAGAGCGAGGGAGUGAAGGGAGAAUAUAGCCGACCUAAUGACUAGUAAGUACAUCCUGACGUCUUACUGACCUUCCUAUGCUGGGACAGAGCUGUCACUGAGAUGUGUCUAUGAGUCUGUAUGUCUGGACUCAGCCUUUGGCUGCCAGCUGAAAAUGCAUAUUUUGGCCUUAAAGCAUAUGCUAAUUUAUGGCAAUCAGUGGUGAAUUUAUCUGACUGCUCUUUAGAUCCCGAGAAAGGGUGAUACGGAGAGAGAACAAGGAAAUGAAAGUCCAGGGAAUGGGAAGAGGGAGAGAUAGAGGGAGGAAAAAGAAGCCAUUCUCAACAGUAUGUGUGCAGAGAUGUGCACACUUCCCAAGGAAAAGCACCACUAUGUCACAUUUAAACCUUUCUCCACUGUGUUGCAGAGCAAGAACGGGGAGACACAAUGCCACAAACACCACACAGAGGCACAUAACCCCCAUGGAGCAGCAAGUUGAGCCUGAGCAGAGGGGCCAGAUGAAGAAGCAGAAUCAGUUUCUGGACCAGUCUGUCCUGCUCUGGGGUGGUACUGGGGGCAACGGGGUCUUGGACAAUCAUCUGUCCUGCAGGCCUGUUGUGACCUUCUCUACAGUUAGGACACAGAGCAGCGGAUUUCUCCAUAGCGUCUGUCAGCGCUGGCACAUGACAUGCCAGCCUGCAGCGUGCCAAUGGCCUCUCCCUUACAAAGCUUUGUGCACAUGAAACACGCUCUCACCCACACAACUACUCUCUUAGGCAUUGAUUACAUCUUUCCUCAGACUUCCUGUGGUGUUGGGCCUUCAAUUAUAUGUCAUGAAAAUGAACAGAUCACAAUGGAGAAGUAAAUAAUUCUACUUUGGAAUUAUUAUUAAGUGGAAUUCUAAAGUAUAAUAGCUAGAUUUUAUAUGCAUCUAUGUUAUCAGUGGUGCUCUACAGAGGAUUAUACAAAGAGAUCAAAAUUAAACUGGUGUAAGUUUGACUGAAUAAAAGACACUCUCGCUGAUGGUCUCAAAACUGGAAUGAGGCCUGUCAAUAGCUUCUGGUGUUCUCGUUCUGGACUGCUUUCUUUGAUCUUGUUCAAUUAUCAUGACAACAGCCUCAAUAUCCAGCACAAGUCCUGAACUUUGAUCAAACUUUCAUUGUAUACUUUAAAGAUUCAUACAGCAAGAAAGCAUUCUCCACCUGUCUUUGCAUGCAUGUCUGUGUGCAUAUAAGUGUCUAUCUUUAAAUGUUUAGACAGAGAG